AUCGAUUUCUUGUUCUUGCAACUUGGAAACUUUCUUCUUGAGGAUCAAGAUCUGUUCCUUAUUCUGUUCAGUUUGAGACCUCAACUUUUUCUUCAGCAGUUUGAUUUUGGCUCUUGCAGCAUCAAGCUCGGACAAGGUUUUCAUGUGGUCAGCAGCUUGAGCCUGAAGCCUCUGAUUUUCUGCUUGCAAAGUCUCCAUUUUUAGGGUGAGAAGUUUAGUUUCCAUGCUGUUUAUCUUGA
rnacentral:lncRNA from 1 species